rnacentral:rRNA from 1 species
ACGCACGCUGGCGGCGUGCUUAACACCUGCCAGUCGCACGGAAAGGCCCUGCUUGCAGGGUACUCGAGUGGCGAACGGGUGAGUAACACGUGGGUGAUCUGCCCUGCACUUCGGGAUAAGCCUGGGAAACUGGGUCUAAUACCGGAUAGGAGCCAUUUUUAGUGUGAUGGUUGGAAAGUUUUUUCGGUGUAGGAUGAGCUCGCGGCCUAUCAGCUUGUUGGUGGGGUAAUGGCCUACCAAGGCGGCGACGGGUAGCCGGCCUGAGAGGGUGGACGGCCACAUUGGGACUGAGAUACGGCCCAGACUCCUACGGGAGGCAGCAGUGGGGAAUAUUGCACAAUGGGCGCAAGCCUGAUGCAGCGACGCCGCGUGGGGGAUGACGGCCUUCGGGUUGUAAACUCCUUUCGCUAGGGACGAAGCUUUUUGUGACGGUACCUAGAUAAGAAGCACCGGCUAACUACGUG